CAGCAGCCGCGGUAAUACAGAGGGUGCGAGCGUUAAUCGGAUUUACUGGGCGUAAAGCGUGCGUAGGCGGCUUCUUAAGUCGGAUGUGAAAUCCCUGAGCUUAACUUAGGAAUUGCAUUCGAUACUGGGAAGCUAGAGUAUGGGAGAGGAUGGUAGAAUUCCAGGUGUAGCGGUGAAAUGCGUAGAGAUCUGGAGGAAUACCGAUGGCGAAGGCAGCCAUCUGGCCUAAUACUGACGCUGAGGUACGAAAGCAUGGGGAGCAAACAGGAUUAGAGACCCGCGUAGUCCCUGUCUCUUAUAC
rnacentral:rRNA from 1 species